rnacentral:lncRNA from 1 species
CGAGGUGCGGUCCCUGUGGCCUGAUGGGGGUGCUCGGACAGCUGGCCUUGUGGUUCUUCAUCGUCCAGCUGCAGACUCUGAUGAAGGCGCUUGGCUUCCACUCUGUCUGGGGCCAAACCAUUUCGGCAGCCAUCGUGGUUGCCAAGUCCGUGAGGAUGGUAUCGCCAGAGGGGACUGCUAAGAGGAGAAGCACAUGGAGGAGCAGGAGGAUCCGGCGAAGAGCCCUGAGGAGGCUCGUGGAGAGGCACGUCCGCAGUGGAAGAUGCAAAGGGAGCCUGAGACAGAAGUGGCUGCGUGCUGGGCAGCCCCGGCGGUACUGGCUGCGGUCAGUGAGGAGAAGGGGCUGCAUCUUCUGCGACCUGCAGCAGCCCCCCUCGGUGCCAACGGUGGCUGUCUCCGUGCCUGCAGGAGUGCCGGGUGAGGUGCUGAUCAGCUCACCUCCAUCGUCACCUGCACCUCACAGGGUGAAACGAAUCCGCUUUGGGAAAUAGUAAUAUUGCAAAUAAAGGGGGGUGGUUCUUGAACA